CCUACGGGGGGCAGCAGUGGGGAAUAUUGGACAAUGGGGGAAACCCUGAUCCAGCGACGCCGCGUGAGUGAAGAAGUAUUUCGGUACGUAAAGCUCUAUCAGCAGGGAAGAAAAUGACGGUACCUGCCUAAGAAGCCCCGGCUACCUACGUGCCAGCAGCCGCGGUAAUAAGGAGGGGGCAAGCGUUAUCCGGAGUUACUGGGUGUAAAGGGAGCGUAGACGGCGGCGCAGGUCUGGAGUGAAUUGCCGGGGCCCAACCCCGGAACUGCUCUGGAAACUGUGAAGCUUGAGUGCAGGAGAGGUAAGCGGAAUGCCUGGUGUAGCGGUGAAAUGCGUAGAUAUCAGGAGGAACACCGGCGGCGAAGGCGGCUUACUGGACUGUAACUGACGUUGAGGCUCGAAGGCGUGGGGAGCAAACAGGAUUAGAUACCCCAGUAGUC
rnacentral:rRNA from 1 species